GUUCUGAUUCAUUGUUAAAAUAGAAGCUGUGACCCCGGCAUCCCACCCCGGCACCCCCUGUGCGUGGAAACCCGAGCCGAGGUCUGAUGGUGGAGAAGCCAGGAACCUUCGCCCUGGCUGCCCCAGGGGAGGAUGUGAAAUUCCCCAGGUCUCAGCUGAGAUUGGGCCACAAAGGCCUUAUGUCCUGGUAUGCUUUGGAGGAAACUCACCAGGCCCCACCAUAGGAUCGCAGGAGCUACUUUGGCCUGACUCAACCAGUAUGGAGGAGGUGGCUGGGAAUGCCCCGUGUGAAUACUUUGAGGCCAACGUGCUUGCCCAGAGCUGCUGUCAAAAUUGCUUCCACCCUGAGGAGGCCCACAGACCAAGGCACCAGGUAGGCCAGCUUCCCUGAGUGGUUGCGGCAGUUUGGGAUGGGGGUGUUCAGGACGGGCUGCGGCUGGUGGGCCACUAACUUGUGGCCAAACCCAAACACUGGCCUUCCUCCUGGGCAGAACAGAGGUUCUGCCAUCUGUACAAUGAGCUGAUGGGCCCAUGUUAUGUUUCCCAAAUACAAGUCAUUCUCCUGCUUUUAUGAUUUUUUGCCAUGGCCUCAUGUCAUUUAGUACUUAUU